AGCAGCCGCGGUAAUUCCAGCUCCAAUAGCGUAUAUUAAAGUUGUUGCAGUUAAAAAGCUCGUAGUUGAAUUUCGGGGUUAGUAGGUUGGUCAUGCCUCUGGUAUGUACUGGUCUCACUGAUUCCUCCUUCCUGAUGAACCUUAAUGCCAUUAAUUUGGUGUUUUGGGGAAUUUGGACUGUUACUUUGAAAAAAUUAGAGUGUUUAAAGCAAGCUAACGCUUGAAUACAUUAGCAUGGAAUAAUGAAAUAGGACGUUCGAUCCUAUUUUGUUGGUUUCUAGGAUUGACGUAAUGAUUAAUAGGGAUAGUUGGGGGCAUUAGUAUUCAAUUGUCAGAGGUGAAAUUCUUGGAUUUAUUGAAGACUAACUACUGCGAAAGCAUUUGCCAAGGAUGUUUUCAUUAAUCAAGAACGAAAGUUAGGGGAUCGAAGACGAUCAGAUACCGUCGUAGUCUUAACCAUAAACUAUGCCGACUAGGGAUCGGAUGAUGUUAAUUUUUUAAUGACUC
rnacentral:rRNA from 1 species